rnacentral:rRNA from 1 species
UACGUAGGGUGCGAGCGUUAAUCGGAAUUACUGGGCGUAAAGUGUGCGCAGGCGGCAGAGCAAGUCGAGUGUGAAAGCCCCGGGCUUAACUUGGGAAUUGCGCUCGAAACUACUUUGCUGGAGUGUGGCAGAGGAAGGUGGAAUUCCACGUGUAGCGGUGAAAUGCGUAGAUAUCGCUUGGAACGCCAACGGUGAAAACAGGUUGCUGGGGGUGUGCUGACGCUGAGACACGAAAGCCAGGGGAGCGAACGGG